rnacentral:pre_miRNA from 1 species
AUCACCUGGGCAUUUCGUUAAAAUGCAAAUUCUGAUUCAGCAUAUCUGGGGUACAGCCUGACAUUCUGUAUUUUUAACAAAUUUCCAGGUGAUGCUAA